rnacentral:lncRNA from 1 species
CGGAACAGGAUCUGCUCUCAAGGAACUUAUAUUCUGUGGGUGAGGUGGGGCUAACCCCACAUAUGCGAAACCCAGUCUCCUCCAACAGCCCCGGACCGUGUCUCCCCGCCCAGUUCCGGCCCUUAGGAUGCCCCUCACCCCCACCCAAUGGGUCACAAUAGGGCCAUGGUAGCCUCUCAGGAGCUGGGACUGGACUGGAGAAGAGGGGCCCUGGCAGCUCCAACAGCAGGGCCCCCAGCCCCCCGGCCCCCAGCUCCUCUAUUCCAUCUGGGGCUGGCUAAGUUCCGGGACCAGCGGGGUCGCCAACGGCGGGGAUGAGUUGCAGGAGCAACUCUGAAAACACCGACAACUCCAACAACUCCGAGGUUUCUCGGCUCUGGAAGCUAUUACAAGAUCUGCAGUUCGAAUGCGGGCAAUGCAUAAACUGCCUCCAGUCCCUGGAGCAGAGGAGGAAUUCCCGGUGCUGGAGAUGGAUUAACGAGUGCACUACCGCGUUCUCAGUCCAGCAAGAGCAAGACCAGGAGGAGACUCAAGAAGGGGAUGAGGAUGAGGACGGGGACGGGGAAGGGGAAGGGGAAGGGGAAGGGGACGGGGACGGGAACAGGAACGGGGACUGCGCCGGAGCAGCUCCCAAUCUUCUGCGAUAUUAAGCCAGAGCUCCUGGUCUAGCACGCGCUCAGCCCGGAAGGCAAAAAGCUCUCCUCCUACUAGAGUCCACAGUUCUUAAUAUCCAGGUGAAUCCCUGGAGUACAAGUUCGUUACCAGAAUCCGGAUCCAUCUCCUUAAUCUCCGCCCCAGCCCGCAAUCACAAUCUUAAACUGAAAAGCAAACACAUGAGCCCAAAAUAAAGUCUCAAGGAACAA